ACAGCACUCAAUUUUUGCUUACAUUGUGUGAAGAAGGACGUUGCACUCGGUGUCUUCUUUAGAGGUUUUCAUGAUGUUUCCUUCAGUGGUUUCUGUGGCAGCACCCCCACAGGCAAGGAAGGGAAUAGGUUUUCAAAGGGUUUGGUUU